GACGAACGCUGGCGGCGUGCUUAACACAUGCAAGUCGAACGGAAAGGCCCCUUUGGGGGUACUCGAGUGGCGCACGGGUGAGUAACACGUGAGUAACCUGCCCUUGACUUCGGGAUAACUUCAGGAAACUGGGGCUAAUACCGGAUAGGAAUCCUUGCUUCAUGGUGGGGGUUGGAAAGCUUCGGCGGUUUUGGAUGGACUCGCGGCUUAUCAGCUUGUUGGUGGGGUAGUGGCUUACCAAGGCUUUGACGGGUAGCCGGCCUGAGAGGGCGACCGGCCACAUUGGGACUGAGAUACGGCCCAGACUCCUACGGGAGGCAGCAGUGGGGAAUAUUGCACAAUGGGCGGAAGCCUGAUGCAGCAACGCCGCGUGCGGGAUGACGGCCUUCGGGUUGUAAACCGCUUUCAGCAGGGGCGAAGCUUGUGGUGACGGUACCUGCAGAAGAAGCACCGGCUAACUACGUG
rnacentral:rRNA from 1 species